rnacentral:rRNA from 1 species
GACGAACGCUGGCGGCGUGCCUAACACAUGCAAGUCGAACGGGACUUGAGGGGCUUGCUCCUUAAGUUUAGUGGCGGACGGGUGAGUAACGCGUGAGGAACCUGCCUUUCAGAGGGGGACAACAGUUGGAAACGACUGCUAAUACCGCAUAACGCGUAGAGGUCGCAUGGCCUUUACGCCAAAGAUUUAUCGCUGAAAGAUGGCCUCGCGUCUGAUUAGCUAGUUGGUGAGGUAACGGCCCACCAAGGCGACGAUCAGUAGCCGGACUGAGAGGUUGAACGGCCACAUUGGGACUGAGAUACGGCCCAGACUCCUACGGGAGGCAGCAGUGGGGAAUAUUGGGCAAUGGGCGCAAGCCUGACCCAGCAAUGCCGCGUGAAGGAAGAAGGCUUUCGGGUUGUAAACUUCUUUUGUCAGGGACGAGCAGAAGACGGUACCUGACGAAUAAGCCACGGCUAACUACGUG